rnacentral:rRNA from 1 species
CCAGACUCCUACGGGAGGCAGCAGUGGGGAAUAUUGGGCAAUGGGCGCAAGCCUGACCCAGCAACGCCGCGUGAAGGAAGAAGGCUUUCGGGUUGUAAACUUCUUUUGUCAGGGGCGAAGCAAGUGACGGUACCUGACGAAUAAGCCACGGCUAACUACGUGCCAGCAGCCGCGGUAAUACGUAGGUGGCAAGCGUUAUCCGGAUUUAUUGGGUGUAAAGGGCGUGUAGGCGGGAAUGCAAGUCAGAUGUGAAAACUAUGGGCUCAACCCAUAGCCUGCAUUUGAAACUGUCAGGCUGGAGUGCAGGAGAGGUAAGUGGAAUUCCUAGUGUAGCGGUGAAAUGCGUAGAUAUUAGGAGGAACACCAGUGGCGAAGGCGGCUUACUGGACAGUAACUGACGUUGAGGCUCGAAAGCGUGGGGAGCAAACAGGAUUAGAUACCCGAGUAAU